ensembl:lncRNA
AGUGUGUGCUUAGGCAGGGGAGAAGCUAGGAAAGCUGAGCAUCGUAGAGGAACGAGAUUAAAACAGAGCUCAUUCUACACAGCAGUUCAGCACGUUGAAGGGAUUUAUCUUCCCUUCUACCAGUGUAGAAGCUACCAACACUACCAGCGUGUGUUGGGCUUGGUUGCUUGCAGAAGGAACAAGGUUACGUGUUGGUUUUACAGAGAACAGCCGUUAUGAUUUCUUGAUAGAUUUAAUCGAUAAUAGCAGAGGAGUGGCAAGAAAGGGCCCUGCCAAUGCCAGUAAGUUCCUACCCAGACCUAUGUGACAGACUGACGUGCAGAAAUCAGACCCUAUAGCCAGGAAGGAUAUGGAGCAGCUAUGUGUUUAUUGGUGACGCGCGUACACCCUGGUGCAAGGGGGAUCGUUCCACCUAACUUGCACCCCGUCAGGAGAAAUGGUGCUAUAGUUAUAGGUCAAACUAAUACAUAAUCAGUAGGUGACAGGAAUUCAGAUACAUCUUCAUUACAUUCCCGAGAGCCCAUUAGCAUGCAGUCCCUCCCCCCCUUGCGCGGGCGUAGUAGGUCGUGAUGAUGAAGGCUUGCAGUCUUCCUCACAAAGGCUCGUAGUCUUCCUCGCUGCAAACUUCUGACCCUGAAGGGGGGGCAUCCCCCAAACCAGUUUCAACUUGCCCUGUAGACAUCUAAUCACCUCCCUGCCAAAUGUUUUUUCGAGCUGCUCUCCAGCCCUUAUCUAUAUGGCCUUCAUCCUCCUUGCUAUUCCAGACCCAGUGUCUGUGAAAGUGCUUGGAACCCCUUGUUUUCUAACACUCUCUACCUAAACUAUCUCUAUUUGCCCCUUGUUUCUACUUUGUGAAGCUGCUUUCCCCUUUCUUGCUGUGAGGCCCUUCUCUCUCAAACUGCAGGGUCCUGCUCUCUCUCUUCAAGAGCAGUCAGAAGAAAGACAAGUGAGAAUACAGGGAACAAAAAAAAAAGCAGAGAGGAGAGCAGAGGCAGCAGAAAGAGGAGUGAGGAUACAGAGAAGAAAGAACAGGGGAAGAGGAGUGCGGAUGCAGAAUAAAGACAAGUCUGGCAACAGGAAACAAAAUCCAACAGAAGAGCAGUGCUGAUGCAGAGGGAAAAGGAGUGAGGAUGAUGCAGGGGAAUAAGAACAGGAGAAGAGUGAGAAUGCAGAGGAAAGAGCAGGGAGGAUAGAAAAGAAGGGAGAGCCUAAGAGGUGGGCAGAUGGAAAAAGAGUGAGGGAAGAAAGAAGAGCAGAAGAGUAGAGCCGAUGCAGAAGAAAGAGGAGUGAGGAAGCAGGGAAACAUACAGCAGAAGAGAAAAGCAGAUGCAGGUGAAAGAGCAGUGGUGAGAUGCAAUGGAAACCAUCAGAAGAGUGAGGAUACAAGGAGGAAAGAACAGCAGAAGAGGAGCACAGCUGCCCGAGAAUGAGCAGGGAGAAUACAGGGAAGAAAGAGGAGGAGGAGAGCCGAUGCAGAAGAAAAGAGAUGUCACGUUACAGGGAAGAAAAGCAGGGCAGACGAAGUACGGAGAGGAAGCAGGGGAAAAAAACACUGAAGAGCAAGGAUAGAGAUGAAAGAGCAGUGAGGAUACACAGAGGAUAGAACAGCAGAAGAGAAGCAGAAGAGAAAAAACAGGAAAAGAGUGAGAAUGCAGACGGAAAAGCAGGGAGAAUACAGGGAAGAACCAAGAGCCUAAGAGAAGUGCAAAUGCAAAAGCAAGCGAGGCUACAGGGAAGAAAGGACAGCAGAAGGGGAGUGCAGGUGCAGAUCCCCCAAACACAGCACUCCCUGCCCGCUAGGGUUGCGGGUGCGACGCAGUCACCACAAUGACGUCGAGGAUCAAUGCCGGGUAAUUCAGUGAGCGUUCCAACAAAGAAUCAAGGAAAAAACUGCCAGGCAAAACUAAGAAACCUUCUGGCAACAGGUCUUCAACGUUACGCGUAGAGUCCUUUGGAACAGGAGUUGUUUCUGUGUCAACAACUUGAAGAUCAAUUCAGGCAACGGCUACUAAAGAAAAACGAGUCACAUAACAUGGAGAGCAAAGAAGAGAAGAGAGAGGAAACAGAGAGGUGCCAGCACUGCCACCCGGGGCGGGCAGCAGGCUGCUGGUGCCAGCGUCAUCAUGGGCGGCGGCCAGCACUGGCCACGCUGUCACCGCGUCGCCGUGGCGACGUUUGUGACACAGCCACCCGGGAG